GACGAACGCUGGCGGCGUGCUUAACACAUGCAAGUCGAACGAUGAACCCGGAGCUUGCUCCGGUGGAUUAGUGGCGAACGGGUGAGUAACACGUGAGUAACCUGCCCUUGACUCUGGGAUAACUGCGGGAAACUGUAGCUAAUACCGGAUACGACCCUCGGCGGCAUUGCCAGGGGGUGGAAAGAAUUUCGGUCAAGGAUGGACUCGCGGCCUAUCAGCUAGUUGGUGAGGUAACGGCUCACCACGGCGACGACGGGUAGCCGGCCUGAGAGGGUGACCGGCCACACUGGGACUGAGACACGGCCCAGACUCCUACGGGAGGCAGCAGUGGGGAAUAUUGCACAAUGGGCGCAAGCCUGAUUCAGCAACGCCGCGUGAGGGAUGACGGCCUUCGGGUUGUAAACCUCUUUUAGUAGGGAAGAAGCGAAAGUGACGGUACCUGCAGAAAAAGCACCGGCUAACUACGUGCCAGCCGCCGCCGUAA
rnacentral:rRNA from 1 species